rnacentral:rRNA from 1 species
UACAGAGGUCCCGAGCGUUGUUCGGAUUCACUGGGCGUAAAGGGUGCGUAGGUGGUUAGGUAAGUCCGAUGUGAAAUCUCCAGGCUCAACCUGGAAAUGGCAUUGGAUACUAUUUAGCUUGAGGAGUGGAGGGGGGACUGGAAUUCUCGGUGUAGCAGUGAAAUGCGUAGAUAUCGAGAGGAACACCAGUGGCGAAGGCGGCUCACUGGCCCGGUACUGACGCUGAGGUGCGAAAGCGUGGGGAGCAAACAGG